rnacentral:rRNA from 1 species
CAGCACCUCAAGUGGUCAGGAUGAUUAUUGGGCCUAAAGCAUCCGUAGCCGGCGCUGUAAGUUUUCGGUUAAAUCUGUACGCUCAACGUACAGGCUGCCGGGAAUACUGCAGCGCUAGGGAGUGGGAGAGGUAGACGGUACUCGGUAGGAAGGGGUAAAAUCCUUUGAUCUAUUGAUGACCACCUGUGGCGAAGGCGGUCUACCAGAACAUGUCCGACGGUGAGGGAUGAAAGCUGGGGGAGCAAACCGGAUUAGAUACCCGAGUAGUC